rnacentral:rRNA from 1 species
GACGAACGCUGGCGGCGUGCCUAAUACAUGCAAGUUGAGCGCUGAAGGUUGGUACUUGUACCAACUGGAUGAGCAGCGAACGGGUGAGUAACGCGUGGGGAAUCUGCCUUUGAGCGGGGGACAACAUUUGGAAACGAAUGCUAAUACCGCAUAAAAUCUUUAAACACAAGUUUUAAGUUUGAAAGAUGCAAUUGCAUCACUCAAAGAUGAUCCCGCGUUGUAUUAGCUAGUUGGUGAGGUAAAGGCUCACCAAGGCGAUGAUACAUAGCCGACCUGAGAGGGGGAUCGGCCACAUUGGGACUGAGACACGGCCCAAACUCCUACGGGAGGCAGCAGUAGGGAAUCUUCGGCAAUGGACGAAAGUCUGACCGAGCAACGCCGCGUGAGUGAAGAAGGUUUUCGGGUCGUAAAACUCUGUUGGUAGAGAAGAACGUUGGUGAGAGUGGAAAGCUCAUCAAGUGACGGUAACUACCCAGAAAGGGACGGCUAACUACGUG